rnacentral:lncRNA from 1 species
GGGCCACCUGAACUUGACCCUCAGGGCAGAUAUCCUAGAGUUCCAAGGAAGGCCCAGGCUGGACCAAGGAGCCACCUCCAGAGCGCUUCUGUGGUGACACAGAGCACGAAGGGAAGUGGGAGAAGCUGAGAAGGUGAAGCCAGCAAGCAAUGAUGUAACUUGCAGACCCCUGCUGGGCCAACUCACUUCUCUGUGCAGAAGAUCAUCCACUGUUCAGGGUGUAUAGAGCCCCCCUCAGGGCCAAGGAGAGGCUCCAGAAAAAUCACAAACACAAGAAUGUGUGUGAGGUACUGGCUAAAGCUGAGCAUGCUGACCCAGGCAUGGGGCCUUCUCACCGUUCUCUGAAGCCACCCCUUCCCUUAUGCCCUGAGGCUGCUUGCUGAUGCUGGGAGUAAAAGAAAUGACUCCUGCCCCUCUGUCUCUGUCUCUGUCUCUGUCUCUGUCUCUGUCUCUGUCUCUGUCUUUCUCCCUCUCUCUCCUCCAUCCAUCU